AUUGAACGCUGGCGGCAUGCCUUACACAUGCAAGUCGAACGGCAGCACGGGUGCUUGCACCUGGUGGCGAGUGGCGAACGGGUGAGUAAUACAUCGGAACAUGUCCUGUAGUGGGGGAUAGCCCGGCGAAAGCCGGAUUAAUACCGCAUACGAUCUACGGAUGAAAGCGGGGGACCUUCGGGCCUCGCGCUAUAGGGUUGGCCGAUGGCUGAUUAGCUAGUUGGUGGGGUAAAGGCCUACCAAGGCGACGAUCAGUAGCUGGUCUGAUAGGACGACCAGCCACACUGGGACUGAGACACGGCCCAGACUCCUACGGGAGGCAGCAGUGGGGAAUUUUGGACAAUGGGCGAAAGCCUGAUCCAGCAAUGCCGCGUGUGUGAAGAAGGCCUUCGGGUUGUAAAGCACUUUUGUCCGGAAAGAAAUCCUUGGCUCUAAUACAGUCGGGGGAUGACGGUACCGGAAGAAUAAGCACCGGCUAACUACGUG
rnacentral:rRNA from 1 species